rnacentral:lncRNA from 1 species
AUGAAUUUGGGACUCGAAAUUUCUCUUUGCCAUCCCAAUAUUGGUCAUGCUGAAGUGUUUUAAAUUUAAGAAGACAUGAGUAAAACUAAUUUUCUUAUAAGAUGGGAAAGCAACAUCUUUGAGCUCUUAAUGAAUUUUACUUUUGUAAUGAAAAAUCCAUCAAUCACUUUGAAGUGAUAGAGAUCAAAUCUAAGCCAUGUGUGUGCCAGGCAAGCACUCUGCUGACUGAGGGGCCUCUCUAUCUCUAUGGAGUAUGUUCUGUCAUUGCCAAGCCAUAUACUAGUGUACAGAAAUAUAUAGAAUGAGAAUUCUCACUAACAAGAUAAAUAUAAGUAGGUAAAGAAAAAACUGAUUUAAAAAAAAAAAACGUGAGGUUUACAGGUCAGAAAAAAUCAUGGAAAGUAAAAUUCACAUCAGAAGAUAUAUAAAUGUCACUAUAAAUGAAAGCUAUGCAUUUCAUGUUAAUAAUUAGGAAAAAUGCAAGGUAGGACAAGAUUUUGUUUUCAACUAUUGAAGUAAGACAAAUAAGGAAGAUUUAUAAUGUAAGAACCUGGCAGGAAUAAUUAGAAAUAAAAAUGUUUACACAAUGUUGGUAGAAGCAGAAAUUGAUGAACCUGUUUUACAGAGCACUUGGCAGUAUCUCAGAUUUUCAAUUUUAACUGUUGUCUGCAGAAAUAUUUUAUAGGAAAACAGUGACUUAGAUACAAUCAUCGGAUCAUUGUUUAGCAGAGAGAAAACUUGGAGAAAAAUUGAAUUCCUCGUACUCUGGGGUUUUAAAUUAAUUAUUAACAUUUACAUUACAGGACUGAAGGCUUUGAUUUUUCAAAACCUACUUUAAUUGGGGUUCUUAAACGCCUCAACUAAUCAGUGAGUACAUACCAUGUAUGUCCUUUGGGGUCUGAGUUACCUCACUCAGAAUAUUUUCUAGUUCUAUCCAUUUGCCUACAAAGUUCAUGAUCUUCUCAUUUUUAAUAGCUGGAUAAUAUUCCAUUGUGUAAAUGAACCACAUUUUCUGUAUCCAUUCUGUGGUUGAGGGACAUCUGGAUAGUUUCCAGCUUCUGGCUGGCUAUUACAAAUAAGGCUGUUAUAAACAUAGUAUAUUAACUGAUAAGUGGAUACUAGCCAAAAAGUACAGAAUACCUCAGAUACAACCCACAGACUUUUAAGAAGUAUAACAAGCUCUGCCAAUGCCUGACAAAUACAGAAGUGGAUGCUCACAUCCAUCCAUUGGACUGAGCACAGGGUCCCCAAAGAAGGAACUAGAGAAAGGACCCAAGGAGCUGAGGGGUUUGCAACCCUAUAGGAGGAACAACAAUAUGAACUAACCAGUACCUCCAGAGCUCUCAGGGACUAAACCACCAACCAAAGAGUACACAUGGUGGGACCCAUGGCUCCAGCUGCAUAUGUAGCAGAGGAUAGCCUAGUUGGUCAUCAAUGGGAGGAGAGGCCCUUGAUCUUAUGAAGGCUCUAUGCUCCCAAGGCCAGGAAUGCCAGGGCCAGAAAGCAGGAGUAGGUGGGUUGGUGAGCAGGGGGAGCGGUGAGGGGAAGGAGGGUUUUUGGAGGGGAAACCAGGAAAGGAGAUAACAUUUGAAAUGUAAAUAAAGAAGAUAUCUAAUUAAUAAAAGAUGUGGGAGUGGGGAGGAAAUAGCCCAUUUCUUCUACUGUAAGAAAAAUAUGUAUUAAUUUCAAUUACAAAUAAAAACAUUUUUACUUUCUCUCAUCAAAAAAAGAAGUAUAACAAGUAGAAACACCCAAGUGAGAACAUUUCAAGUCAACUUAGAAGUGGGAAGGAAAUAAUCACAAGAGGCAAAGGGAGGGAAGGACCUAGGUAGGAGAGGGGAUUGGGGGCGGGUAGAAAUGAAGAAUAAGAUCAGGUGUGGGGGACAGGGCAGAAGAGAAGCCCAGAGGACCAAAAGAAUAAAUGGAGAUAAGCAGCAUGGGAGGUGGAGGCCUCUAUAAAGUACCAGAGACCUGGGAGGUGAGAGACUCUAAGGACUCAAUGAGGGAGUGAAGGGCUCUGCAACCCUAUAGGUGGAACAACAAUAUGAACUAACCAGUACCCCCAGAGCUUGUGUCUCUAGCUGCAUAUGUAGCAGAAGAUAGCCUAGUCGGCCAUCAUUGGGAAGAGAGGCCCCUUGGUCUUGCAAACUUUAUAUGCCCCAGUACAGGGGAACACCAGGGCCAAGAAGUCGAGUGGGUGGGUAGGGGAGCAGGGCAGGGGAGGGUAUAGGGGACUUUCGGGAUAGCAUUUGAAAUGUAAAUGAAGAAAAUAUCUAAUAAAAAAAUUGAAAAAAAAGACUCAAUGGGGGUGACCUUAGCCAAAAUGCCUAACAUUGGUAAGAUGGAAUCUCAAAGAGCCCACCUCCAGUAGAUAGACAGGGCCUCAAGCAGAGGGACAGGGUUACUAACCCACAGUCAAAAUUUCUGUCCCAGAACUGUUCCUGUCUAAAUGAACUGCAGGGACAAAAAUGGAGAAGAG